rnacentral:rRNA from 1 species
CCUAGUACGAGAGGACCGGAGUGAACGAACCUCUGGUGUUCGGGUUGUCACGCCAGUGGCACUGCCCGGUAGCUAUGUUCGGAAUCGAUAACCGCUGAAAGCAUCUAAGCGGGAAGCGAGCCUCAAGAUAAGCUCUCACUGACAUGUAAUUGUCCUGUAGGGUUGUUGAAGACGACGACGUUGAUAGGCGGGAUGUGGAAGCGUAGUAAUGCGUUGAGCUAACCCGUACUAAUUGCCCGUGAGGCUUAACCA